UUCCACAGCCAUAUCAUUUGGCACUGUGAUCUUACACAUCUCACAAGCUAAGCAGGGUCAAACCUGGAUAGCACUGGGGAAAAUGUCACAGGGAAACCCAAACUGCUGCAGAAA
rnacentral:rRNA from 1 species